UACGGAGGGUGCAAGCGUUAUCCGGAUUCACUGGGUUUAAAGGGUGCGUGGGUGGGUUGGUAAGUCAGUGGUGAAAUCCCCGAGCUUAACUUGGGAACUGCCAUUGAUACUAUCAGUCUUGAAUAUUGUGGAGGUCAGCGGAAUAUGUCAUGUAGCGGUGAAAUGCUUAGAUAUGACAUAGAACACCAAUUGCGAAGGCAGCUGGCUACGCAUAUAUUACACUGAGGCACGAAAGCGUGGGGAUCAAACAGG
rnacentral:rRNA from 1 species